UAAGGGUCAUUACAGACCCAUUUAAUUCCAAUUUGCUUUCUCUCUCGGGCAGCUAAAAUCUCUCUCUCGCUGCUUCUGUUUUUUUUUCUUUUCUUUUUUCUUUUUCAACUUCAAUCCUUGAUUUAUCUCUCAAUUCUUGGCGGAUUUAGGUGCCGUUUGAGGCAAAACGACGAGCACGACGAGCUCUACGUGCUAGUACCAGAAAUUCCAGCUUUUGGUCAUCUUUGGGAGCUCGAAUUUAAGGACCCAAUUUCAAGGGUUUUGUUCAAUUUAGAGGAAACGGGAAAGAAGUGGCGGAUGACUUUCCACCACAGGCCUAAUUUGGAUUAGAAGACUUCUUUUUGCUAUUUUUGUAUUAAGUCCCAUAUUUUUGUAAAAUCUUAGUUUGUUAUAUUUGGUAUAGAGAUUCGUGAAACUCUUGUUAUUGUAACUAUAUUUUGGGACUGUAAUUAUGAUAAUUUGGAUUAAACGA